rfam:Erinaceus europaeus unplaced genomic scaffold scaffold00076, whole genome shotgun sequence
AGUGUGGUGAUGAUCGCAACAUGCUCUAUGAGUGUCCAUGCUGAGAACCAGAGGCUGUCCCUGAGCUA